rnacentral:rRNA from 1 species
AGAGUUUGAUCCUGGCUCAGAACGAACGCUGGCGGCGUGCUUAACACAUGCAAGUCGAACGAGAAAGGGAUUGCUUGCAGUCCCGAGUAGAGUGGCGCACGGGUGAGUAACACGUAGAUAAUCUGCCUUCAAGCCUGGGAUAACUAUUCGAAAGGGUAGCUAAUACCGGAUAAAGUCGAUCUACACAAGUAGAUUGAUGAAAGAUUGCCUCUUCUUGAAAGCAAUUGUUUGGAGAUGAGUUUGCGUACCAUUAGCUUGUUGGUGGGGUAAAGGCCUACCAAGGCAACGAUGGUUAGCUGGUCUGAGAGGAUGAUCAGCCACACUGGAACUGGAACACGGUCCAGACUCCUACGGGAGGCAGCAGUGAGGAAUUUUGCGCAAUGGGGGCAACCCUGACGCAGCAACGCCGCGUGAGUGAAGAAGGCCUUUGGGUCGUAAAGCUCUGUCAACAGGGAAGAAGUUACAAUUGUUUAACAGAUGGUUGUAUUGACGGUACCUGUGGAGGAAGCGCCGGCUAACUCCGUGCCAGCAGCCGCGGUAAUA